GAUGAACGCUGGCGGCGUGCCUAAUACAUGCAAGUCGAGCGAACAGACGAGGAGCUUGCUCCUCUGAUGUUAGCGGCGGACGGGUGAGUAACACGUGGAUAACCGACCUAUAAGACUGGGAUAACUUCGGGAAACCGGAGCUAAUACCGGAUAACAUGUUGAACCGCAGGGUUCAACAGUGAAAGACGGUCUUGCUGUCACUUAUAGAUGGAUCCGCGCCGCAUUAGCUAGUUGGUAAGGUAACGGCUUACCAAGGCAACGAUGCGUAGCCGACCUGAGAGGGUGAUCGGCCACACUGGAACUGAGACACGGUCCAGACUCCUACGGGAGGCAGCAGUAGGGAAUCUUCCGCAAUGGGCGAAAGCCUGACGGAGCAACGCCGCGUGAGUGAAGAAGGUCUUCGGAUCGUAAAACUCUGUUAUUAGGGAAGAACAAAUGUGUAAGUAACUAUGCACGUCUUGACGGUACCUAAUCAGAAAGCCACGGCUAACUACGUG
rnacentral:rRNA from 1 species